AAUAUUGGACAAUGGGCGAAAGCCUGAUCCAGCCAUGCCGCGUGUGUGAAGAAGGUCUUCGGAUUGUAAAGCACUUUAAGUUGGGAGGAAGGGGUUGAAGCUAAUACCUUCAAUCUUUGACGUUACCAACAGAAUAAGCACCGGCUAACUUCGUGCCAGCAGCCGCGGUAAUACGAAGGUUGCAAGCGUUAAUCGGAAUUACUGGGCGUAAAGCGCGCGUAGGUGGUUCGUUAAGUUGGAAGUGAAAGCCCCGGGCUUAACCUGGGAAUUGCUUUCAAAACUGACGAGCUAGAGUACGGUAGAGAGUAGUGGAAUUUCCUGUGUAGAGGUGAAAUGCGUAGAUAUAGGAAGGAACAUCAGUGGCGAAGGCGACCACCUGGGCUAAUACUGACGCUCAGACACGAAAGCGUGGGGAGCAAACAGG
rnacentral:rRNA from 1 species